GAGCAUAUAGAAAGGAGAGCAAUUUGAGAGAAAUGGCAGACCAGGAGAAAAGAGGCUAUGGAGGAGAGGGAAGCAAUGGCAAAGGUGGAAGCCUAAUUCCAGCAAAGAAGAAGUCAGUGAAGCAAAUGAUGGCUGAGAAAAUACUUGAAACUUCUUCCAAAGCUUUCAAGAAUGACAAAAAGAAGAUCAAGCCCAGAGAUGAUGAAGAUGAUGGUUAACAAAAAAUUGUUUCUCUUGUUCUUUGUUUGAGUGUUAGUCAUAAUCACAUGUAAAAUUCGUAUCAGUUGCUGCUUUAGUGUGUAA
rnacentral:lncRNA from 1 species